rnacentral:rRNA from 1 species
GUUAAAGUUGCUGCAGUUAAAAAGCUCGUAGUUGAACGUUCGGGUUCCGCGGGACGGGUCCGCCCCGCGAGGGACGGCGCCGCCCCGGGGCUCGUGAUAUCUCAUCUCGCCGCCCGUCGCGAGGCGGACGGAGGGAUGGAUGAGGUUACCUGGAAAAAAUCGGGGCGAUCUAGGCGGGCGAACCUCGCCAACGAACGAUCGGACAUGGGAUAACGGAAGAGGGCUCGGCUCGACUUCGUCGGUUCCUCGGGGCCGAGGCACGUACGGUGAAUAGGGACGGUCGGGGCCGCCCGUACCGGGUCGUGAGAGGUGAAAUUCUAGGAUCGACCCGAGACGAACCGCCGCGAAAGCAUUCGGCAAGGACGCUUUCAUUAAUCAAGAACGAAAGUCGGGGGAUCGAAGACGAUCAGAUACCGUCGUAGUCCCGACCGUAAACGAUGCCGACCGAGGGCCCCGGAGGAGUUACGUACGA